AAUGCCUGAAAGGGUGACGCAGCGACGCCGCGUGGGUGAAGAAGCACUACGGUGUGUAAAGCCCUGUCAGAAGGGAAGAAAACCAGUUUUCGAAAGGGAUCUGGCCUGACGGUACCUUCAGAGGAAGCUCCGGCUAACUCCGUGCCAGCAGCCGCGGUAACACGGGGGGAGCAAGCGUUGUCCGGAAUCACUGGGCGUAAAGGGCGUGUAGGCGGGUUUGUAAGUCAGAUGUGAAAGCCCACGGCUCAACCGUGGAUGUGCAUCUGAUACUGCGGACCUUGAGUGCGAGAGAGGGUGAUGGAUUUCCCGGUGUAGCGGUGAAAUGCGUAGAUAUCGGGAGGAACACCAAAGGCGAAGGCAGUCACCUGGCUCGCAACUGACGCUGAGGCGCGAAAGCGUGGGCAGCAAACAGGAUU
rnacentral:rRNA from 1 species